rnacentral:rRNA from 1 species
GGUCAAGCUACAAAGGGCGCAUGGUGAAUGCCUUGGCAUCAGGAGCCGAUGAAGGACGCGAUAAGCUGCGAUAAGCUUCGGGUAGACGCACAUAGUCAGAGAUCCGAAGAUUUCCGAAUGAGGAAACUCACAUGGGAAACCCCAUGUAUCAUAAAGUGAAUACAUAGUUUUAUGAAGGUAUACCCAGGGAACUGAAACAUCUAAGUACCUGGAGGAAGAGAAAGAAAAAUCGAUUUUCUUAGUAGCGGCGAGCGAAAAGGAAAGAGCCCAAACCAGAGAUUUAUCUCUGGGGUUGCGGACAGAACAUAACGAGAAAUCAUAGUUAAUUGAACACAACUGGAAAGUUGGACCACAGUGGGUAAUAGUCCCGUAAGUGAAAACUAUGAUAAUCAGUUCUGCACCAGAGUACCACGAGACACGUGAAACCUUGUGGGAAGCAGGGAGGACCACCUCCCAAGGCUAAAUACUACCUGAUGACCGAUAGUGAAGCAGUACCGUGAGGGAAAGGUGAAAAGAACCCCGGGAGGGGAGUGAAAUAGAACCUGAAACCAUGUGCCUACAACCGAUCAGAGCACCUUAUGUGUGUGAUGAUGUGCUUUUUGUAGAACGAGCCAACGAGUUACGGUAUGUAGCGAGGUUAAGUACUUAAGGUACGGAGCCGAAGGGAAACCGAGUCUUAAUAGGGCGACUAGUUGCAUGCUGUAGACCCGAAACCGGGUGACCUAUCCAUGGCCAGGUUGAAGCGAGGGUAAAACCUCGUGGAGGACCGAACCACGUUGCUGUUGAAAAAGCAUGGGAUGAGCUGUGGAUAGCGGAGAAAUUCCAAUCGAACUCGGAUAUAGCUGGUUCUCCUCGAAAUAGCUUUAGGGCUAGCGUCGGAAAAUGUGAGUAGUGGAGGUAGAGCACUGAAUAGGCUAGGGGGCAUAGCGCUUACCGAACCUUAUCAAACUCCGAAUGCCACAUACUAUCAGUCCGGCAGUCAGACUAUGAAAGAUAAGUUCCAUGGUCAAAAGGGAAACAGCCCAGAUCGUCAGCUAAGGUCCCAAAGUGUAAGUUAAGUGGAAAAGGAUGUGGGAUUUCUAAGACAACUAGGAUGUUGGCUUAGAAGCAGCCACUCAUUAAAAGAGUGCGUAAUAGCUCACUAGUCAAGAGAUCCUGCGCCGAAAAUGUCCGGGGCUCAAACUUACCACCGAAGCUACGGGUUCACGCAUUAGCGUGAGCGGUAGAGGAGCGUCGUAAUCGGGCUGAAGUCGUACCGUAAGGAGCGGUGGACUGAUUACGAGUGAGAAUGUUGGCAUUAGUAGCGAGAUGUAGGCGAGAAUCCUACAGGCCGAAUAUCUAAGGUUUCCUGAGUAAAGUUUGUCUUCUCAGGGUUAGUCGGGACCUAAGGCGAGGCCGAAAGGCGUAGUCGAUGGACAAUUGGUUGAUAUUCCAAUACCACUAUAAUCGUUAUUAUCGAUGGUGUGACGGAGAAGGAUAGGAUGUGCUAGCUAUUGGAUGCUAGUCUAAGCGUUUAGGGAGUUGGGAUUGGCAAAUCCGUUCCAACAAUUCUGAGGCGUGAUGGGGAAGGUUCUACGGAACCGAAGUAUCUGAUUCCAUGCUUCCAAGAAAAGCAUCUAGAAAGAGAAGUAGUGCCCGUACCGCAAACCGACACAGGUAGAUGAGGAGAGAAUCCUAAGGCCGACGGAAGAAUUGCAGUUAAGGAACUAGGCAAAUUGACCCCGUAACUUCGGGAGAAGGGGUGCCUGAGAAAUCAGGCCGCAGAGAAUAGGCACAAGCAACUGUUUAACAAAAACACAGGUCUCUGCUAAAGCGAAAGCUGAUGUAUAGGGGCUGACGCCUGCCCGGUGCUGGAAGGUUAAGGGGAACACUUAGCAAAGUUUUGCGAAGGUGUGAACUUAAGCCCCAGUAAACGGCGGCCGUAACUAUAACGGUCCUAAGGUAGCGAAAUUCCUUGUCAGGUAAGUUCUGACCCGCACGAAUGGCGUAAUGACUUGUGCACUGUCUCAACUGCAAAUCCGGCGAAGUUGUAGUGCGAGUGAAGAUGCUCGCUACCCGCGAUUGGACGGAAAGACCCCGUAGAGCUUUACUGUAGCUUAGCAUUGAAUUUCGGUAUUGUCUGUACAGGAUAGGUGGGAGACUGGGAAACUAGGGCGUCAGCCUUGGUGGAGUCGUUGUUGGGAUACCACCCUGAUAGUAUUGAAGUUCUAACUGGAUGCCAUGAAACUGGUGACAGGACAUUGUUAGGUGGGCAGUUUGACUGGGGCGGUCGCCUCCUAAAAUGUAACGGAGGCGCCCAAAGGUUCCCUCAGAACGGUCGGAAAUCGUUCGAAGAGUGUAAAGGCAGAAGGGAGCCUGACUGCGACACCUACAAGUGGAGCAGGGACGAAAGUCGGGCUUAGUGAUCCGGUGGUACCUCGUGGGAGGGCCAUCGCUCAACGGAUAAAAGCUACCUCGGGGAUAACAGGCUGAUCUCCCCCAAGAGUUCACAUCGACGGGGAGGUUUGGCACCUCGAUGUCGGCUCGUCGCAUCCUGGGGCUGAAGUAGGUCCCAAGGGUUGGGCUGUUCGCCCAUUAAAGCGGCACGCGAGCUGGGUUCAGAACGUCGUGAGACAGUUCGGUCCCUAUCCGUCGCGGGCGUAGGAAAUUUGAGAGGAGCUGUCCUUAGUACGAGAGGACCGGGAUGGACUGACCUAUGGUGUACCAGUUGUUUCGCCAGAAGCAUAGCUGGGUAGCUAAGUCGGGAAGGGAUAAACGCUGAAAGCAUCUAAGUGUGAAGCCCACCUCAAGAUGAGAUUUCCCAUAGCAUAAGCUAGUAAGACCCCUUGAAGACUACAAGGUUGAUAGGUCAGAGGUGUAAGUAUGGUAACAUAUUUAGCUGACUGAUACUAAUAGGUCGAGGGCUUGACCAA